AAACUUUAUUUAUACUAAUAAAUAGGGUAGGAUAAGUAUCAGGUAAGAGAUAACAAUUUGUAAAGUUGAUCGUCUAUUGUUACCCUAUUCUCUGAUCGUUCUCAUCAUGUUAUCGCCGCCACCGCCACCGCCACCGCCACCACAAUCGCCUCUGCCGUGCCAAUACGGAGGAUCCUCAAGUGAAUCAGAUUGUCCGCAGAGACAAUCCUCAAGCGAAUCGGAUUAUCCGUCGUCGUUGAAGAAACAAAAAGUGGAUGAAGAAGAUGGAGAAUCCAGCGAUUGCGAAAGUGAGCAACCUUUAUCAUACUCUCUUUCAGAUACAAGCGAAAACGACUUGGAUAUCCAAGAAGCAAUUGAAGAGUUAUAUUGCCCUGUCGGUCCCGGUGAAAAAAAGGCGGAUAAAGCUGUUUGGGAUAGGUACUUCGACCAGAUCCGUGAGAGUGAGGGAUUUGACAUUAAGGAUUAUCCCGGUUCGUGUCCACUAACUAGCAUUUACCCCAUGACUAACUACUUAGACACUCCUGCCAAUGUUGAAAUGUUGAAGGAUUAUUGUGCAAAGGCACUUGAGCAUUACAAUACGGACAAUGGCACCAAAUAUGAGGUCGACCGUAUUGUCAAGGUUAAUGAAGGUGGAUGUCAAGGCUUCGUUUACUAUAUUACCUUUACGGUCAAAAAUGGCGACAGUGAAUAUUUUCAAGCUAAGGUGGUGGAACAUAUAAAUAAGAAUAAGCCUUUGGAGUUCCCAAUUGUUAGGCCAAGGGUGAAGGGAGGUUUGGACAUAUAGUGAUGUGAAGUCUGUGCAUCCUUUUGGCUUUGUGUUAACAACUCUUGUCAAUGUUGGACAUCAUUACUAUUUCUGUAGUUGAGAACUGGAAAGCUAUCAUUUACCCCUCGAGUUUAAGCAACGGAUGGUGGUGUGAUAAACUGCUAGAAAGCUUAUGUAAGGAUGCUUUGGAAGAUGCAAGCUUUACCAUUUACUACAUGGAUUAUAGUGUAGGCCAUAUCCAGUAUUUAGAGUCAGUGGGUGUCGGUGUCAAGAUUUUCACAUAUAAGGUUCGGAUGAACCCCUUCUGUCCCUCUAGCGAUAGUAAUUGGUUCAUGAUAUGCUGCUGAUUGGGAAGGAGAGUAUUUGCAAAUUUGUACUAUAGGGCAAGCGUGUUGUACUCUCUGAUGUAUAAUUGGAAUCAGGAUAACGCAGAUGAAAAGAAAGUGUUUGCUGUUACAAUCACUGUGUGUUUUAGGGAGGAUGUUUACUGGUUUUAGAGGCCUGAAAAUGUUUGGGUUCAGCUGCUUAAUCCAAUCUUGGUAGCAUCCCUCAUUCCUUGAGAAUGAAUCUGUUUGAGUAUCAAGUCGAGAAACGAAAGGAGAAAUAGACAGCUUUUCUGUUCCAGGUCAUCUUCUUUUCUCAUUGUUCUUUGGAUGUUCAACAAUUUAUAGCAGGAGUAGACUGUCCUUUUUUACUUUCCACAUAGCUUCAUCUGUAUACUGUGGACUGUUUCUGUCACUUUAAAAUUUGUUGUCAUCUUCGACAGA